GAAGCUUUCCAGCGCUGGCCUUUGACUGGCACACACUGGACAAUGAGACCUUAACCUGUCUUGAGUGAGGUUCCUCGGGAGAAGCAGCGACUUUAGUGCAGAAUCUGAAGCUCUGUGGAAGCUGUAUUCUGUGGCCACCAGGGCCAGAAGCCAGCUCUUGGGCAUUGCCAUAGGACCAGCAGGUCGGGUCCCUCAAUCUGUGCCCAGUGACUACACUGCCCAGGUGUGUGCAUCAGAAGCUCGGGAAUGAGUGGCUGGAACUGGACAUGCGCAGAUUGCUCUUCCUUCCACCCCCUUCUCCCAGGGUAGGUUCUGAGGAUCCCUUUUCCUCAGUCUGUCAGUUCUGUCAUCCUAGGAGGUGCGCUUGACCAUUGAGGGCCUGCCCUGUGCAGAGAGGGAUUGCAAAAACUGGCCUCCCAAAUGCUGCCGUGGCCAUCACCCCUCAAGAUGGAUCAAUCUUUUUCUGUUGUAUUUCUGUCUCCUUCUCGGACCUUUGCUAUCAACUACACGAUUUAUAAUCUCUCCUCCACAGGCAUUAAGGCUGGAAAGAGCCUGUCCACACCUGACACUUCUCUUUCCAGGCUUGCCCCCUGACUCUGCCUACACUAUCACACAAGGAUGGUACUUGGCCCUAGAUCCUGGGCUCAGAGUUUCCCUGGCAAGCACUGUGGUGUGGAGGCUUAUCGAGUGGGAGAAUACCUGCAAAAUAAUCUGAGAGACACCGAGCCCCUCUUCGCAGUAUGUCACAUUGAGUCUUUUAGCACAACGAUGAGUGGGAAUUAGAAGCUGUGGCAGAGUGACGAGAAACUGCUUCCCAACCUGUAUCUGGGCCCCAUUUGUCAAUUGUAGCAAGGGCUCAUUUAGCCCAGGCUGGCUUUGAGUACCAAUCUUCCUGCCUCCCUCUACCUUCCAAGUGCCGUUACGUGCCAUUAUCUUCAUUUUCACCACUUGUAACCUCCCCAUUAUUAUUUUUUUUUAAGUGAAGAAAAGUUAUUCAUUUUGCUCAUUGAAAGCCCCUAGGUUCGGGCUUUUGGCAUAACUAGGAUUCAGACCAGACCACAGGAAACUGCUUUUCGGUGGUCAGCUGACACUGGGGCUCCGUGAGAACUAAGACACUGCUUCCAGGGAGCCAAUAUCAGCAAGAAAAGAGCUGUCUCCAAGGAAAAAAGGCAGACAGGACUUUUAGAAACGUUUCCUCAUCUUCAUAAUUUUGUCAACCCAUGUCACAAAUGCAUCACGAGGUCUAACUGGCUUAUUUUUUGUGGGUUGUCCCAUUGGUUGAAUGAAGGACAAACAAAUGGAUGGAUGAAUAUUUAGUAGCUCUUCUAUGUGGUUUGAUAUGUGGCCGUUUUCCUGCAGUUUCCAGUUUUAAUGAUGCAUGCAUAAAAGGAUCAAGGAAAAGGCAUGCACAGACCUUCAUCUGCAAUUUGGAAGCCAGAGGUUUGGAUGCUCAGGUGCUGAUGAAUAUGUGGCAAACUCGUUUAGCAGCCAAACAACACCUGAAAAAACAAAAAACAAAAAACAAAAAACAACCCUUUACUUGGAAUUUAGUUAUCCCAUUUAGUGUGACUAUUCUCCUGUUUCCAUGAAUGGAAUAUUAAUGUUAAAUAGGAGUGUUGUUCCAUAUGCUACAUAUAGCAUGCAUUAGCAAUGUCUUUUAUCUCUGAAUUUAAAGCAUAUGUAGUCCAUAAUGUUUAGAUACGGAAUCGCUGACCUACAUUAGUUAUUUGUCGAUGUGGAGGGAUGUCAUGUCAUUUGUAAGACAAAUUACAUUUGUGUAUAUGCCCAUUUACAAAUUAAUGUAAAUGUUUCCCCUAUCAUUUUGCAAAAACAUUAGGGACAAUGUCUUUUGCACAUUCUCUUGUGUGAAACACAGAUUCUCCAGCCAAUAUUUCGAGCUCAUUAUUCCUACUCCAUAAUUGCUGCAUUCACGUAUUACAGAAAGAACAAGAAAGACAGAACAAAUAUGCACUGCACAUCACAGGGCAUUUUGAUGUUUCUUCACUUCUUUUUCAAUAAACUAUUUGGACAACACUUUACAUGAAAAUUUUGCUUUUAUUAUUAAAUUCAAUUUUAAUUUCAUUUAAAGUGGCUAAAAUGCAGUUUGAAUAGAAAUCCAUUUAAUUAACAUUUCAAAGUAUAUGGAGAUGAAUAUAAAAUUUACUUCUAUGCUGACUGUAAAACCAAUGCUAAGGAAGAUCUGCUUGAGCAAAGUAGAGAACAACUUCCUCGCUGUACGACCAGAUAUUUAACCUCUGGCUUUGCUAUUAUCAUUGCUUUAAUAACAAAGAUAAGCUAGGUAUCAAUAAAUCCACAUAACCAUCAAUUUAUCCAUCCAUCUACCAUCAUUAUAUACAUUCUACCAGCUACUAAUUUGCAUUUUCAUCACUAUUAUAGUCAACUUUACAUGACUGUGACCAAAAACUGAGAUAACAAACUUAACUGGAGAACACGUUUAUUUGGGCUCACGAUUCCAGAGGUAUCAUGUUACACAUUCAGCUCUCUCUGUGGCUUUUGGGCCUAUGGGGAUAUGUGACAUCAUAGUAGGACCAUGUGACAGUUAACUGCUUAGCUCCUGGGAACUGGAAUGAGAGAAGGAAAGAGAGGAAGGGACUGCAGUUUCCAUAACCCCUCCUCACAUACCCCCCUCCGGCAAGAGAACACUUGCUGUGACCAGACUUUCUCUCACAGGGCUCUACCUCUUUAGAGUUUCACUGUCUCCUAGUAAUGCCACAGGUUGGCAGUGAAGCCUUUGAGGGACACUCUAGAAGCAAGCCACAGCAACCACUUACUCCUGAGGCUUUGCUAGAUUCUAAUAGCAUUAGCAUUUUGAGUUUGUCCUUGUAGAACUUGAGAGAGAGGACAUGCUACAAUUCAGGAGGAGAUUUCUAUGAACUUAGAAGAAACAUUUAACAAGACUGAUGAUCUUUAAAGGAGUCUGAAGGACAGAUAAUAAAAUAACCGGGGCUUGGAAGUCAGAACACACAGCUUCUGAUUCCAUGCUAUUCUUUAAUCUCUGUGUGAUGCAAGGCAAUAUGCUUAAACCAUCCCACCUUGAUUCCCUUGUUGAUAAAUGAGAGGAAAAUGUUACAUUAUUACUUUACAAGUUUGCUUUAAGGGUAAGUAUGUCAUUUUAAAU
ensembl:lncRNA